AUCUUGUUCGAACCAGAACCUUCACUUGAUACUCUGGCCUGGCCUGGCCUGCGUACUGGAGCAAAGCAGAGUUCCAUGGAGUUCACCAUCGAAGCCUUGAAUCGCCGUUGAAAAAAUGGAGGGAAAUUGAAGUUCAACUCUUCAUUGCAACGCCUCUCCCAAAUGGAAAAUCAAUUCUGCUUCGACUGCCUCCGGAGCCGAAUCGCCGCCGAUUUCUCAGACAAACUCGUCUUCUCCUACGGCAUCUCUGAUUCGGCCUUCGCUCUCUCCUCUUCUGCCGUCGUUCAGACGCCAAUUCCUGGUGCCGAGGCUUCACCUCAGUUUGUGCUGGUGUAUCUGCCGAGUUCCCUGGACCAGUGCUUGAUAAAGUACAUCAGUGACGAGUACUGCCAGGACGAUCCUCAACGUGAUAGUGAUGAGACGCCUGUGUCUGUCACUAAUCAAGAUCGAGAAGACGGUUUGUCGAGUGAUGGCCGACGAACAUCGCUAGCUUGGUUUGGAUGCAAGAGUUUGAACUGUAACUUCUCCGGUAAGUUUUCUUGUUCCAGAACAAUCACGUCUUUGGCUCCAAUUGCUCGUAUUGGCGUUUCAUCCUACUCUGCAUUUGAGGAGAUUGCUUCGAAUUAUUUAUCCGGAUUUGGCGAAGACCACAUUCUGAGCUCUCUUAGUCUUCUGAUUGAAGGGAAAUCAACUACACGAGAUGCCAUAAAUUUUCUUAGCUUGAUAGGGGUACCUUCGUUUGAUGAUAAUAGACUUCCUGGUUGUUUAAGGCACCCGAACAUAGUUCCUAUCCUUGGGAUGAUGAAAGUAUCAAAUUACAUCAAUUUAGUCCUUCCAAAGACUCCUUAUACCUUGGAGAGCAUUCUACAUUAUAGCCCUGGAGCCCUAAAAUCUGAAUGGCAUAUAAAAUUUUUAGUAUACCAGUUGCUCUCUGCCUUGGCUCACAUGCAUGGUCUGGGGGUUGCACAUGGUAAUAUAUGCCCCUCGAAUGUAAUGUUGACUGAUUGUUGCUGGUCUUGGUUGCGGAUUGAUGAUAAACCUUACUUGAGUUCAAAAAAUAAAGAAGGCUCUCUUUCUCCUUCUUGGGGUAUUGGUUGCUGUGUUGAGGGCUGCCCUUACAGAGGAGUUUAUGCUGAUUUGAAGCUUUCCCAGUCAAUAGAUUGGCAUUCAGCCUUUAUUUGGUGGUGGAGGGGUGAGUUGAGUAAUUUUGAGUAUCUGCUUGUGUUAAACAGGUUAGCAGGGAGGAGGUGGGGGGAUCACACAUUUCACCCAGUGCUGCCAUGGGUUGUAGAUUUUACUGUGAAACCGGAUGAGACUAAGGACAUAGGUUGGCGAGAUUUGAGCAAGAGCAAAUGGCGGUUGGCAAAAGGUGAUGAACAGUUGGACUUCACAUAUUCAACAUCCGAAGUUCCUCAUCAUGUCUCAGAUGAAUGCCUCUCUGAGCUGGCUGUCUGUAGUUAUAAAGCAAGGAGGUUACCUUUGAGUGUCUUGCGAAUGGCUGUUCGAGCAGUUUAUGAACCAAAUGAAUAUCCAUCCAGUAUGCAAAGACUUUACCAGUGGACUCCUGAUGAGUGCAUCCCUGAAUUUUAUUUUGAUCCCCAAAUAUUUUAUUCUUUACACUCUGGUAUGUCUGAUUUGGCAGUUCCUUCUUGGGCGGGUAUGCCGGAGCAGUUCAUUAAACUGCAUCGAGAUGCUUUAGAAAGUAAUCGGGUCUCACGUGAAAUUCAUCAUUGGAUUGACAUCACCUUUGGAUACAAAAUGUCAGGUGAGGCAGCUAUUCUUGCCAAGAAUGUUAUGCUGCCUGCAUCAGAGCCCACAAUGCCCAGGUCGGCAGGACGGCGCCAGCUUUUCACCCAACCACAUCCUGCUCGCCUUGUUGCCAGGAAAGUUCAUAAUAGGGCAGCUGAAUUAAGUAGGCAGCAAAACCAAGCAAACCAAUAUGAGGGGAUCAAAUCUCUCCUUCUGGGAACUGCUCACUUACAAGAACUGGAAGAAUCAGCCAAAUUUUGUGAACAUGCUCGGCAUUUGAGUCCGAUCUACUGCUACCAUCCAAGUGAUCUUCUGGAAAAUGACUUUUCCACCAAACAGCCUCUUUGUGAGAACCUGGAGAAAAAAACAUCUGGAACUCCUAAUCACAUCAGCAACCAUGAAGUGCAAUCAAUUAUUGACUUACAUUAUCUUCUUGAUAAUAUUGAGGUAGAUGAUGGCAGUUACUUGGGAUAUCAAGAGUUACUGCUCUGGAGGCAGAGAUCAUCUUGCUCUAAGGUUCUUUCUGGAAACAUUGGGAGGGACAUAUUUUCUGUUGGGUGCAUUUUAGCAGAACUCUAUUUGGGAAGACCACUUUUUGAUCCAACCUCAUUAGCAACAUACUUGAAAGGCGGUGUCUUACCUAGUGUGUUGCAAGAACUUCCUCCUCACACCAAAGUUCUUGUUGGAGCAUGCAUCGAGAAGGACUCAAGUAGGAGGCCUUCUGCCAAGUGUCUUUUGGAAUCUCCAUACUUUUCAGCAACAAUCAGGUCAUCCUACUUGUUUCUUGCCCCCCUUCAACUUUUAGUAAAAAGUGAAUUAUGUCUCUGCUACGCUGCAAAUUUUGCAAAGCAGGGAGCUUUCAAAGCAAUGGGACCAUUUGCAGCUGAAAUGUGUGCGCCAUAUUGCUUACUGCUCGUAGUAAACCCUCUAUCAGAUACUGAAGCUGAGUGGGCGUAUAUACUACUGAAAGAAUUCUUAAAAUGUCUGAAGCCUAAAGCAGUAAAGGCUCUCAUCUUGCCUGCAAUCCAGAAGAUUCUACAGGCUACAGGUUAUUCACAUUUGAAGGUUUCUCUUCUUCAAGAUUCAUUUGUGCGUGAAAUAUGGAAACAGAUCGGUAAACAAGCAUAUCUGGAGACAAUGCAUCCUCUGGUUAUUCUAAACUUAUUUGUUGCUCCUCAGAAGAGUUCUGCUGCUGCUGCUGCUGUUCUGCUGAUUGGCUCUAGUGAAGAGCUUGGUGUACCAGUUACAGUUCAUCAGACAAUUUUACCCCUGAUUCACUGUUAUGGUAAAGGGCUCUGCGCCGAUGGAAUUGAUGUCCUGGUUAGAAUUGGUGGUCUUCUAGGGGAGGAUUUUGUUGUUAGACAGAUCCUGCCAUUGCUAAGAAAUGUAGUUCACUCUUGCAUUGAUGCUUCAUAUAUGCAUAAGCCUGAGCCUAUGCAGAGCUGGAGUUCUUUAGCCCUUAUUGAUUGUCUGAUGACGUUAGAUGGUCUUGUUGCAGUCUUGCCAAAGGAGGUGGUUAUAAAGGAGUUGAUAGAGGAUGGAAAUUGCCUGCAUGUCAAGAUUCUCAUGCAGACCAAUUUGGAUGUUGCGGCACUUCAGGUUGCUGCUACAAGUCUCAUUGCAAUUUGUGAGCAGAUUGGCCUGGAUUUGACGGCAUUGCAUGUCCUGCCAAAGCUCAAAGAACUAUUCUAUGAGCUUGCUUUUUCUCAGGAAACCACUAUUGCCUCUGGUUCUUUCAGCAGAAGCUCAAAAGUUGCCAAACAGAAAGUUGAGGGGGGUCAAAUUGAAAGCCGUAUGGACCUUGUGUUGCUUCUAUAUCCUCCUUUUGCUUCUCUCCUUGGCAUAGAGAAACUUCGCCAAUGUUGUUCCACAUGGUUGCUUCUUGAACAAUUCCUUCUGCGAUGCCACAACUGGAAGUGGGAGUACACUGGGGAAUCCACUCGAAGUGUUCCUGACAAUAUUAAUGCUAAAAGGCCUGGUUUUAACAAGAGAUCAACAUCUGAAUAUAGUCCUGCUAAACUGUUGCUCAAUGGUGUUGGUUGGUCAAUACCACAAUCACAAGGAAACAAAAGUGGCAAAAACUUGAUCCCUCAUAAGCAUGCAAAUGAUCUUCAUCAGAAUUCAGGUGAGAGGCCUCUUGGAACCUCCACUUUUGAACAGCAUGAUCCUUGGUAUUGGUUCCCUAGUCCAGCAGCUAGCUGGGAUGGGCCUGACUUUUUAGGUCGGGCUGGGAGCAUGAAAGAUGAACUUCCAUGGAAGAUCAGAGCAUCUAUAAUACACUCUAUCCGUGGACAUCAUGGAACAAUAAGGUCUUUAGCAGUUUGCCAAGAUGAGUGUACAGUUUUUACAGCAGGAGUUGGUCCAGGAUUCAGGGGAACUGUUCAGAAGUGGGACUUGUCAAGAAUUGAUUGUAUAUCUGGCUAUUAUGGUCAUGAGGAGGUUGUGAAUGAUAUAUGUGUUUUAUCAACCUGUGGGCGGGUAGCUUCUUGUGAUGGAACAGUACAUGUUUGGAACAGCCAAACAGGAAAAUUAAUAUCAAUUUUCGCUGAAUCAUCUGCAAAUCCUGUGCAUGCUACUAGCCCUCCUUCAACAUCUACAUCAAAUACAAAUGCUGAUCAAACCAAUAUUCUAAAUUCAAAUCCACUAUCAGGUGGAAUAUUGUCUUCUGCAUUUGAUGGGAGCUUGUACACUUGUAUGCAUCACCUAGCUUCCAUCGAAAAGCUUGUAGUUGGUACCGGAAAUGGUUCUCUAAGAUUCAUUGAUGUUUCCCAAGGUCAAAAACUUCAUCUCUGGAGAAGUGAAUCUGGUGAAUCCAGUUUCCCUUCCCUCAUUUCCUCCAUAUGUGCGUGUGGGCCUGACAAAAUGCGAGCUGAUGGAGCCACAACUUCACCAUCUUGGAUUGCAGCUGGACUAAGUUCUGGAUUUUGUAGGUUGCUUGAUAUGAGGAGUGGAAAUAUUAUUGCCUCAUGGCGUGCUCACGAUGGAUAUGUGACAAAGUUAGCUGCACCGGAAGAACAUUUGCUUGUCUCAAGCUCUCUUGACAAGACUUUACGAAUUUGGGACUUGAGAAGGGACUGGCCACCACAGCCCAUUGUUUUCAGAGGUCACAGUGAUGGUGUGUCUGGCUUCUCUGUGUGGGGACAAGAUGUGAUUUCAAUCGCUAAAAAUAAGAUUGGGCUUUCCUCUUUAUCCAGAUCUGCAAAUGAAGAUGUGCUACCUUGUGUCACACCUCAAUAUCUCUAUUUGGCAGAUCAUGGAGCAAGGAACGUUUCAGUUUUAUCGAGUUUAAGUAUUCUGCCAUUCUCAAGGCUCUUUCUCGUUGGAACGGAAGAUGGUCAUCUGAAGAUCUGUUGCUAGAUUGCCUUGCCUAUAUAUAUGUACUUUCAUCUCGUCAUUCUCACCGAUUUGUUCAUUUUUGUAUUAUAUUCAUUCAUCUACGUAUUACUUAAUUUUUAAGCUUGUUGCUAAAAUGGAAAAAAUGCCUGGUCAGGAAUCUUGUGAUUCAAAACCGGAGCACGCAGUGAUUAUGUCUGAAUUCUAAGGUCUAUAUCUCAAAAAUAGUUAUGAGGGGAAUUUGUCAAGUUCAUUGGUUUUGGAGUAAUGAGUUUUGCUGGACAAGGAAAAGCCACAUGGUUAUUAUGAAACAUGAGAAAGGUAAGAGUCAUAUGACUGAAGGGGCACGAUUUAGUAGCACUGUAAGAUUCUUUUCAAUAUUAUGAUUCGAAGGUUACGAAAUGUUUCAAUAUGGUGCUUGCUAAUUGUUUGCAAGAUCAACAAGUAAAGAAGGGAUACUUGGUCGUGAGACACAAUGGAAACCGAAGGACGAAGACUUCCCAUUGCUCCCUAAAGUUGUCUUAGUGGUGGGUAAUUGGGUUUUCAGUGGUUACAAAAUCAAUAUCAGAUGUGCCGCCUCGCCCUGCUCACUAUACUGUUAAAACUCAACUAUUUUCACUACUUUUAACUAAUAACAUUGGGAGAGACGAGUCAGCUGAAUUUUGAAGCUGGAGCUUACAAGUGGUACAAUUGCUCAUAUUUCAUUCUCUCUCUCCAUUCUAAGGUUAUAUAUCUGAUAUUUGAAUCAGAAGAAAAAUGAAAUUACUUAUACAUAUUUAUUCAUUAUUUAAUAUUUCCUUGGACAAAAUAUUAAAUUAGGGGUGCUAACGGCUUGGGACUUGGGACAAAUUUGUGAAUCAAACCAUCCCAAUGUAAUUGGGUUUGUGUUUGGUUUAAAAUUUUUUGACCUAAUUCAAUUCUAAUUUUGUUUUCUAUGAUUCCAACCCAACAGUAUUGUUAUAAUAAUUACCCAUUUUUAUUCA